UACGAAGGGGGCUAGCGUUGCUCGGAAUCAUCUGGGCGUAAAGCGCACGUAGGCGGGUUGCCAAGUCGGGGGUGAAAUCCUGGAGCUCAACUCCAGGACUGCCUUCGAUACUGGCGAUCUUGGAGUCCGGGAGAGGUGAGUGGAACUGCGAGUGUAAGAGGUGAAAUUCGUAGAUAUUCGCAAGAACACCAGUGGCGAAAGGCGGCUCACUGGCCCGGUACUGACGCUGAGGUGCGAAAGCGUGGGGAGCAAACAGG
rnacentral:rRNA from 1 species